rnacentral:rRNA from 1 species
UACGUAGGGUGCGAGCGUUAAUCGGAAUUACUGGGCGUAAAGCGUGUGUAGGUGGUUAUUCAAGUCGGUUGUGAAAUCCCCGGGCUCAACCUGGGAACUGCUUCCGAGACUGAAAGACUAGAGUACGGUAGAGGGUGGUGGAAUUUCCGGUGUAGCGGUGAAAUGCGUAGAUAUCGGAAGGAACAUCAAUGGCGAAGGCAGCCACCUGGGCCUGUACUGACACUGAGACACGAAAGCGUGGGGAUCAAACAGG